rnacentral:rRNA from 1 species
UACGUAGGGGGCAAGCGUUGUCCGGAUUUAUUGGGCGUAAAGAGCGUGUAGGCGGCUAUACAGGUCCGCUGUGAAAACUCAAGGCUCAACCUCGAGACGUCGGUGGAAACCGUAUGGCUAGAGUCCGGAAGAGGAGAGUGGAAUUCCUGGUGUAGCGGUGAAAUGCGCAGAUAUCAGGAAGAACACCCGUGGCGAAGGCGGCUCUCUGGGACGGUACUGACGCUGAGACGCGAAAGCGUGGGGAGCGAACAGG